CCUACGGGGGGCAGCAGUGAGGAAUAUUGGUCAAUGGGCGGGAGCCUGAACCAGCCAAGUCGCGUGAGGGAAGACGGUCCUAUGGAUUGUAAACCUCUUUAGGCGGGGAGCAAUGCCGGGCACGCGUGCCCGGUGGGAGAGUACCCGCAGAAUAAGCAUCGGCUAACUCCGUGCCAGCAGCCGCGGUAAUACGGAGGAUGCGAGCGUUAUCCGGAUUUAUUGGGUUUAAAGGGUGCGUAGGCGGAUUUUUAAGCCAGCGGUAAAAUUUCCGGGCUCAACCCGGGCCGGCCGUUGAAACUGGCAGUCUUGAGUGGGCGAGAAGUAUGCGGAAUGCGUGGUGUAGCGGUGAAAUGCAUAGAUAUCACGCAGAACUCCGAUUGCGAAGGCAGCAUACCGGCGCCCGACUGACGCUGAGGCACGAAAGCGUGGGGAUCGAACAGGAUUAGAUACCCGUGUAGUC
rnacentral:rRNA from 1 species